UACGGGGGGAGCAAGCGUUGUUCGGAUUUACUGGGCGUAAAGGGCGCGUAGGCGGCGUGACAAGUCACUUGUGAAAUCUCCGGGCUUAACUCGGAACGGUCAAGUGAUACUGUCGUGCUAGAGUACAGAAGGGGCAACUGGAAUUCUCGGUGUAGCGGUGAAAUGCGUAGAUAUCGAGAGGAACACCUGCGGCGAAGGCGGGUUGCUGGGCUGAUACUGACGCUGAGGCGCGAAAGCGUGGGGAGCAAACGGG
rnacentral:rRNA from 1 species